GACGAACGCUGGCGGCGUGCUUAACACAUGCAAGUCGAACGAAGAGCGAUGGAAGCUUGCUUCUAUCAAUCUUAGUGGCGAACGGGUGAGUAACGCGUAAUCAACCUGCCCUUCAGAGGGGGACAACAGUUGGAAACGACUGCUAAUACCGCAUACGAUCUGACCUCGGCAUCGAGGAUAGAUGAAAGGUGGCCUCUACAUGUAAGCUAUCACUGAAGGAGGGGAUUGCGUCUGAUUAGCUAGUUGGAGGGGUAACGGCCCACCAAGGCGAUGAUCAGUAGCCGGUCUGAGAGGAUGAACGGCCACAUUGGGACUGAGACACGGCCCAGACUCCUACGGGAGGCAGCAGUGGGGAAUCUUCCGCAAUGGACGAAAGUCUGACGGAGCAACGCCGCGUGAGUGAUGACGGCCUUCGGGUUGUAAAGCUCUGUUAAUCGGGACGAAAGGCCUUCUUGCGAAUAGUGAGAAGGAUUGACGGUACCGGAAUAGAAAGCCACGGCUAACUACGUG
rnacentral:rRNA from 1 species